rnacentral:rRNA from 1 species
UACGAAGGGGGCUAGCGUUGCUCGGAAUCACUGGGCGUAAAGGGUGCGUAGGCGGGUCUUUAAGUCAGGGGUGAAAUCCUGGAGCUCAACUCCAGAACUGCCUUUGAUACUGAGGAUCUUGAGUACGGGAGAGGUGAGUGGAACUGCGAGUGUAGAGGUGAAAAUUCGUAGAUAUUCGCAAGAACACCAGUGGCGAAGGCGGCUCACUGGCCCGAUACUGACGCUGAGGCACGAAAGCGUGGGGAGCAAACAGG